rnacentral:rRNA from 1 species
GUUGCAGAAAACCAUGUGUCAGGGGAACCGGGUUGAAUACCGGGCCGCAGAGGGUGAGGGCCCCGUACCUGAACGCGCAUGGUCUGCCGAUCGCGUCUCCCAAGUAGCACGGGUCCCGUGGAACCCCGUGCGAAUCCGCCCAGACCGUUGGGUAAGCCUGAAUAUUCCUGUCUGACCGAUAGCGAACGAGUACCGUGAGGGAAAGGUGAAAAGUACCCCGGGAGGGGAGUGAAACAGUCUCUGAAACCGUGCGCCUACAAUCCGUCGGAGCCCUUUUGUGGGGUGACGAGUCAGUGGCAUGUGGCGAGCAUAACCCGUGUGGGGUAUGCGUAGCGAAGGCGAGUCUUAAAAGGCGUUUGAGUCGCGUGUCCUGGACCCGAAGCGGGAUGAUCUAGCCCUGAGCAGGUUGAAGCGCGGGUAAGACCGCGUGGAGGACCGAACCCACCUGGGUUGAAAACCGGGGGGAUGACUUGGGGCUAGGGGUGAAAGGCCAAUCAAAUUCCGUGAUAGCUGGUUCUCUCCGAAAUGCAUUUGGGUGCAGCGUCGGGUCAUUACGUCCCGGGGGUAGAGCUACUGGAUGCUUGCGGGCCCGUAUCGGGUACCAACAGCAACCAAACACCGAAUACCGGUGACGCGUAUCCCGGCAGUGAGUCGGCGGGGGAUAAGCUUCGUCGUCGAAAGGGAAACAGCCCAGACCGUCGUCUAAGGUCCCGAAGCGUGUGCUAAGUGGGAAAGGAUGUGGAGUCGCAUAGACAGCCAGGAGGUUGGCUCAGAAGCAGCCAUCCUUUAAAGAGUGCGUAACAGCUCACUGGUCUAGUGGUUCCGCGCCGACAAUGUAGCGGGGCUCAAGCACACCACCGAAGACGCGGCAGCGGCCUUUGCGGCCGUUGGGUAGGAGAGCGUCCCGCGUGGGGCGAAGCGGCCGGGGAACCGUGCCGUGGACCGCGCGGGAGUGAGAAUGCAGACAUGAGUAGCGAGAGACGGGUGAGGAUCCCGUCCGCUGGAUGACCAAGGGUUCCAGGGCCACGUUCAUCGUCCCUGGGUGAGUCGGGUCCUAAGGCGAGGCCGACAGGCGUAGUCGAAUGGAUGAACGGGUCGAUAUUCCCGUACCGGCUUUCAGCCGCCAAAACCGAGGCUUGGAGUACUAACCUCCGGGUCCGGGCUUACUGCUCCUUCGGGGGCGGGAUGCCCUGGCCUGUUGGGACCGAUCCUUGUAGUAGGUCAGCGCAGGAGUGACGCAGAAGGGUAGCCGGCCGCGGAGGUGGUCUUCCGUGGUCAAGCACGCAGGGCGUGGGACAGGCAAAUCCGUCCCGCAUGGGUCCGAGGUGCGAUGAUGGGGGCCUUAUGGCCCGAUAUCCGGUGAUCCCGGCUUCGGCGUCAGGCUCAAAGCCGCCCGUACCCCAAACCGACACUGGUGGUCAGGUAGAGAAUACCAAAGCGAUCGAGCGAAUCCUGGUCAAGGAACUCGGCAAAUCACUCCCGUUCCUUCGGUUUAAGGGAGACCCCCGAUGGUGAACACACUUGCUGUGGGAGCUUUUGGGGGUGGCACAGACCAGGGGGUAGCGACUGUUUACCAAAAACACAGGUGCAUGCGAAGGCGCAAGCCGCUGUAUAUGCACUGACGCCUGCCCGGUGCCGGAAGGUUAAGAGGAUCCGUCAGCCCCUUUUGGGGUGAAGCGGUGAAUUCAAGCCCCGGUAAACGGCGGUGGUAACUAUAACCAUCCUAAGGUAGCGAAAUUCCUUGUCGGGUAAGUUCCGACCUGCACGAAUGGCGUAACGACUUCCCCACUGUCUCGACCAGGAGCUCGGCGAAAUUGCAGUACGAGUAAAGAUGCUCGUUAAGCGCAGAAGGACGAAAAGACCCCGGGACCUUUACUAU